CCCCUGAGUACGCAAUAGAUGGCCUGUUCUCGACUAAAUCUGAUGUAUAUAGCUUUGGUGUUUUACUCCUAGAGAUAAUAAGUGGGAAUAAAAUCAGAGGUUUUCGCCAUCCAGAUCACAACCUUAAUCUGAUUGGUCAUGCAUGGAAAAGCUACAACGAGGACAAACUUUCUGAGGCAACUGAUAAGUUGAUCUUGAAUUCAAGUAACGAGGAUGAAGUGUUUAGAGUAAUUAAAAUUGGUUUAUUGUGUGUUCAAGAAUAUCCAGAAGAUAGGCCGAACAUGUCAUCUGUGGUUCUGAUGCUGAGUAGUAAAAUUGCAUUGUCUACUCCGAAGAAGCCAGGGUUUUACUCGGAGAGAAGAGAAGCUCAUGAAACAAAUUCUUCAUCGUUGAACAACACAGACUCCUCACCCAUGAAUACCUAUACUUUCUCCUUGUUUGAGCCACGAUAGCAUGAAUAUAAAUUCGCAUCAGAUUUGUUGGCUGUUAGUGUUUUUUAAUUAAUCAUCAUGUAAAAAUGAGCUGUUGUUGGCCUAGUUUACUCCAAUCAGAAUAAAUCACAGACCGAACAAUUAAUCUU